rnacentral:lncRNA from 1 species
AUGUGUUUUUCUUAUUCUUCAUGUAGAUGGGAGCAUCACCCCUCAGCUUGUUGUGAGAGAUGGAGGCGUCCUCCAAGAGACGGAGCUCGCUCUCCUCCUGGCUGCAGUCAGAUCACAGUGGAUUUGGCCAUACACAGGAGUAGGUCGAGGGAUCCCCGCGGCGCAUGCGAGCUUCCAUUUAUCAACACGACGUUUCCCUUGCAGCGAGAGAUAAAUACGCUGCCUGUUAAUGGGAACAAACUGAGUUUGGGAAGGCUGUUUCAGAGCUUGAUGUUGAAGGUGAAGGUGAAUCAUAGGAUCGUAGAAUCAUUGAGGUUGGAAAAGACCACAAAGGUAAGUCCUACCAUCAACCAUCACUCAUGGCCACUGUGCAUACUGGGGCACUGCUUUCCAUCCAGAAGCAGCUGUAGCCAUCCAGAUAGUAGAAAUAGCACCCAAAUACUUCCACCAGUGGUUGGAGGAUCUCCCUACCCACAGUUUGUUCCACAUUGACCAAAUCUAUUAUGCUCAGAUGAGCCCUUCUCCAUUGUGCUGACAGAAUGAAACCAUGGCUCCCACUCUUGACAUCUCCAGGGCUACCUUUCCCAGAUGGGCCAUCAGUGCUCACCUGGAUCCCCAUAUGCACAGUCAUCUUGUUCUUCUCCCCCCUCCUCCAGGUUGUAGGCAGCACUGUGGGGCUGGGAGCAGGGGAAGGUUUGACUCAGCAUCCUGGAUUUAAAUCGUCUUAGUCUGGCUUGUUGCAGAACCCAAACCAACAAAUGCCUUAUGAUAAACCAAAGCCACAGCUGCUGCAGCUACCAACCAGGCUUUGCUCCCAGGAACACCACACCUGCCCCAACUCUUUCCUGGUAUCUCCAUCAGCCUUUCUGAACUCUUUUUCCCCAUGAGUAGUUUUCUGUGGAGGUACAACUUCUCCAAAGCAUCUGUUCUUUUUAUGCACAGACCAUUUGGAUGGGAUAUAAAGUUUUCUAUAAUGAGUGGUGAGGCAGUAGCACUGGUUGCCCAGAAAGGUGGUGGAUCCCCAUCCCUGCAGACACCCAACGUCAGGCUGGAGGGGCUCUGAGCACUGAUGGAGCUGUGGGUGUCCCUUUGCAUUGCAGGUGGAUUGGACCAAAUGGCCUUUAGGGUCCUUUCCAACUCAGACCAUCCUAUAACUGUCUGAUUCUCUGCACACUACCCAUGGCGCCCCUGAGCAGCUCUGUGCUGGCAGCAGCUCCUCCACAGGGCCUGUCACUGUCAGCAGACA